GACGAACGCUGGCGGCGUGCUUAACACAUGCAAGUCGAACGGAAAGGCCCUGCUUGCAGGGUACUCGAGUGGCGAACGGGUGAGUAACACGUGUGCGAUCUGCCCUGCACUUCGGGAUAAGCCUGGGAAACUGGGUCUAAUACCGGAUAGGAGCCAUUUUUAGUGUGAUUGUUGGAAAGUUUUUUCGGUGUAGGAUGAGCUCGCGGCCUAUCAGCUUGUUUGUGGGGUAAUGGCCUACCAAGGCGGCGACGGGGAGCCGGCCUGAGAGGGUGGACGGCCACAUUGGGACUGAGAUACGGCCCAGACUCCUACGGGAGGCAGCAGUGGGGACGAUUGCACAAUCGGCGCAAGACUGAUGAAGCGACGCCGCGUGGGGGAUGACGGCCUUCGGGUUGUAAGCUCCUUUCGCUAGGGACGAAGCUUUUUGUGACGGUACCUAGAUAAGAAGCACCGGCUAACUACGUG
rnacentral:rRNA from 1 species